GAUGAACGCUGGCGGCGUGCUUAACACAUGCAAGUCGAACGAACCUUCGGGUUAGUGGCGGACGGGUGAGUAACGCGUGGGAAUCUGCCCUCAGGAGGGGGAUAACGGCUGGAAACGGCCGCUAAUACCCCAUAUGCCGAGAGGUGAAAUGAAAUUCGCCUGAGGAUGAGCCCGCGUCUGAUUAGCUAGUUGGUGUGGUAAUGGCGCACCAAGGCUUCGAUCAGUAGCUGGUCUGAGAGGAUGAUCAGCCACACUGGGACUGAGACACGGCCCAGACUCCUACGGGAGGCAGCAGUGGGGAAUUUUCCGCAAUGGGCGAAAGCCUGACGGAGCAACGCCGCGUGAGGGAUGAAGGCCUCUGGGCUGUAAACCUCUUUUCUCAAGUAAGAAGAACUGACGGUACUUGAGACU
rnacentral:rRNA from 1 species